UGGAAAGAGGGGCGGGGAAAGCAGAACCGAACACCUGUGUGGAAACCAUGGCAACAUUGUUUCCGGCGGAGUGGACCGCUUCCCCUCACGCCUCCGCCCCGGAUUCUACACCUGACAGAGCACUGUGCUCGUGGCCUUGAAGUCCCCGCAAACCUGGUUCCUCGGCGGCUCCGCCCUCCGUGUUUGAGGACACAGAUUCUGGACACAGAUUCUUUGAGAUCUGCGCUCCGGAAGAAAAAAACCAGCUUCAAACCCCUCAUCCGUUUAAAAACUAAGGAGAAGAAAUGAACAAACCAUGUGUUUCCUAUGAUGCGUUUCUGCCCAGGCGUUUCACUAAAUAAACUUACGAAAUGAAGAAUCGGGAAACACCUGCA